rnacentral:lncRNA from 1 species
GAUAUCAGUGUAUCGGAUUUCUGCAAAAAUCCAAUAUCGUGCAUCCUUAUGCUGAAAACUGCUUUUUUUACUUUUUAAAAGUUACAUUUUUAUUAUUGUGUGUUUCAGAUGGAUAAAAUCUUCACAUUACUUCAGAAGUUCAGACUGGAUAAAUACUACAAAAAAUUCAUUGAUCUUGGGAUUGAAGAAGAACUGGAUUUUUUUGACAGCGUCAAUGAUGUGACCUUAAAAUCCAUGGGUAUAGAUCCCUCACAAAAUACAGUGGAGGACCUGAUGUUGCGAAUCUGCCAUGAAAACAAGGUUGACAGAAACAUGUCUGUAUGCCUUUACACUGCUGAUGGUAUGCCUUUGACUGAUGACCCCUUCUUCAACACAUGGUCUUUGAAUGACAGACAUAUUGCAAGUGGGAGUGAACUGUAUGCCAUAUUUACACCAAGGGAAAAUUUAACAGCGUUACCACUGACACAAAGACAGGCCAACAUCAGAAAUGAAGGACCAAGUGUCAUCCGCUGUCACAUAAUGUUACAGGGAGACUUUGAAAUCAAAGUCAACCUCGAAAGUGAUACACUGAGAGAUGUGACGCUGCGGCUUUCACUUGAAAGUUGUAUACCAGCACCAGUUCUUCACAUCAGGUCACUGAUUAUCAUAUCAUUGAUUUACAUAAUUUGA